UACAGAGGUCUCAAGCGUUGUUCGGAUUCAUUGGGCGUAAAGGGUGUGUAGGUGGCGCGGUGAAGUCGGGUGUGAAAUUCGAUGCUUAACUCCGAAACUGCAUUCGAUACUGGCGUGCUUGAGGACUGGAGAGGAGACUGGAAUUUCAUGGUGUAGCGGUGAAAUGCGUAGAGUAUCAUGAGGAAGACCAGUGGCGAAGGCGGGUCUCUGGACAGUUCCUGACAGCUGAG
rnacentral:rRNA from 1 species